rnacentral:RNase_P_RNA from 1 species
CGAGCCAGCCAGGCAAUCGCUGUUUCACUGCUUUCGAGUGGUGAGGUGGAGGAAAGUCCGGGCUCCAUAGGGUGGAACGCCAGGUAACGCCUGGGGGGCGCGAGCCUACGGAAAGUGCAGCAGAGAGUAGACCGCCGAUGGCUUCUUCGGGAGCACAGGUAAGGGUGAAAGGGUGCGGUAAGAGCGCACCGCGCGACUGGUAACAGUUCGCGGCACGGUAAACCCCGUUCGGAGCAAGACCAAAUAGGCCCCCGAUAGCGAAAGCUUGUAGGUGUGACCCGCACUGGGGGCGGGUAGGUCGCUUGAGGUGUCUGGUGACAGGCAUCCCAGAUGAAUGAUUGUCCUCGACAGAACCCGGCUUAUCGGCUGGCUCAACAA